rnacentral:lncRNA from 1 species
AAGAAUUAAUUUUAUUUUAUUUCAUAAAUAAAAAAGAUAAAAUAUGAUGUAACUUUUAAUACGAAAAUAUGCAUAAUACAUUUACCCAACUUAAAAGCAUAUUUAACAUUGAUGAGAAUGUUUGCUGGUAAAUUUUUUUCAUGUAAAGUAGGAGACAUAUUGAAAAGCUCAAAAUUUUAGUAGCGGCUGCGUGCCGUUUGCGGCCAUAAUUAAAUUAUUGAUCGGAAAAAGGCGUGUAAGUCUCCGCCACCAAACACUUAAGCAUCAUUCGCUUGAAUUAGGGCCCCCUUUCCUCCAUCCUCACAAAUUUCAAUUGACAUUGUAACAAACAAAACCACCAUUAUUAAAUUAAUCACAAAUUCAAAAUCAAUGGCAAUUUUCUAUGGUGAUAAUAACUAACAAUUUUAGUCUAAAAUACUUUAAUUCCCGACUUCUUAAAUUGGCAUACCUUAUUUUUCAAUUUUUAGUAUAAAUGAGAUCAAUUUUCUAUUCUCUAAUUUUGAGGAAGAUUUUAGGAGGGAAAAUAACAAUUUGUAAUUACAACUACAAUUAGAUUCACACCAUGCAAUGUACAAAAGAAUUACAAUACAAUAAAUAUAUUUGUAUAAUUACUUUUAAAAUUAAACUUUCAUAUGCACAAUGGAUUAAUUAAUCAAAAUAUAUGUAAAUCUAUGCUCAAAAAAAUAUAUAUGUGUGAAUUUGGAUAAAAAAAAAUUAGAUUAAAAACCCAUACAUACAUAAAUGUGUACACUAAACUUUAAACUUAAACACUGCAAGCUCAAAAUAUUAACAUUUACUAAUAUCAAAAUAUUAUCAUUUACUAAUACAACUAAAACUUCAUUAACUAAUUUUGAAAAAAAGUUAUGUUUAAACAUAUUUUAUGGUGAGAAAUCAAUGAACUAGAGUUUCCAACCCGCACGAAAAAUGGGAGAGUUUAGGCAAAAAUAUAGGCUCGAAAAAUGAAAUUGAGCAAAAAAAUAAGGCUCAUUUAGAAAACGAAUUGGGCCUCAUGUAAGGUUUUUUUGGCCCAAGGCGCCCUAAAUUUAAAAAAAAACACUAUUGUUUUUGCUGCUAUUUUUUCAUAUUUUACUGUGUUUUCCCAUUUUUUGUCACUAUUUUGCUAUUAUUUUACUAUUAUAUUGCUAUUAUUUUGUUGCUAAUGUAUGAAUAUUGUAUAAUACUUAUUUUCUUGUCAAUUUUACUACUAUUUUAGUAUAAAGACUUUUUUUAAUUUAUUUUUUAUUUGUUGGGAAAUAUUUAUUUUAAUAUUUUUAGAGUAUGUAUUGUAUUUUUAAAAACUUUUAUAUAAAAAAUAAAAUUAACAUGGGCCGGGUCAAGCUCGAGUUUUAACAUUUUUAUCCGAGUAAGACUUAGGUAAAAAUUUAUGCCCAUUUUUCGGCCUGGGCCGGUCCCAGACCUAGCAAUUGGACUUAAAAUUUUGUUAUAGUUCGACUCAACCCAUGGACAACUCUACAAUGAACCCAUUAUUUAAUUAAAUAUACAUUUUUAAGUUUUAAAAAUUAUUUUUUUAACUUAAUUCAGCAAGUUGCAUUCGUCUAUGACUUUGUAUCGAUAGUUCUUUUAAUGAACCAUCAAUUUUUCUUUUUUUUUUUUACACUUUCUCAACCAUAAAAUGUGAUUUUUUUGAGGAGGUACCUUUUACAUAAAAAAGUAUCCUACCUUAGUUUUCAUUUUUUAUAAGAUAAAUUAUAAAUUCAGUUAUUUAUGUAUGGUUUAAAUUAUGUUUUAGUCAUCGAAUUUAAAAAAGUUAUGAUAUGAUCAUUAACAUUAUUGAUUUGUUAUAUUUAGGUCACUAAAAUGUUAAAAAUCAUUAAUGGUUUAUAUCAUCAUUUCAAUAAAAAAAUUAAGUCAAAUUGUACAAAUAAUCCCUAUAUUUUUUUCCUUCUUUUUAAGAAAUUUAAUUAUUUUUCUUUCAGUUUUUUUUAACUUGUGUUUUUUCUUUUCCUUAUUUCUUUUAUUUGAGAUGGCAAAUGAGAUAAACUUAGGAUGUGUUUAACUUAGGAUGUGUUUAAUAAACUAAAAAUUUAAGUGCUGAAAAAUUAAGUACUCAAUGUUUAAUACUAAACUUUAAAAGUGCUAAAUUUAUAUUAAAAAAAUAUUUGAUAAAUUAGUAUAUAUAAGUACUGAAUAUAAUUUUAUUGUUUGAUAAAAGUAAGUACUUAUUUUUAAAAGAUUAUUCAUUUUUUUUAAUUUUGGUCUUAUUAACCUACUAUUUUAACUGGAUAGUUUUAAUAAAAAAUAAAUAUGAUAAUUUGAAUAUUUCAAUUUUUGAAAAAAAGUUAUUUUAAUUUUUCAAUUUUUCUUUUAUUUUUUUUUUAAAAACUUAACUUUCUCUAUAUUAAGUGAUAAGUAGCUAUCUACUUACUUAUCUUAUUCAAAUUUUUUUGUUGGAAAUUUUACAUUAAGUAAAAAAUUAAAAUGAUUAUCAAACACAUUUAAAAAUUUAAAUGAAGAAAGAGCAUGAAGAUAACCCAAUUGAGAAUGAGGACUAUAAGAAGAGGCCCAGAUCAAUAUUUUUCGAUCCUAAUGUUUCUGACUAUCAGGAUUCAUUAGGAUCUAUGGAAGAGCAUCCAAAUGCUCACUCUUUUAUUUUAUUGACGGUUGUUAGGAGGCAUGUUGAUCGGGAGCCAUGAAAAUAUUACGCUAGAAUGCCUGUGAAUUGGGGAGUACGCAGGCUAUAAGAAGGCUUCGGUAGGUGUUAAAGGCCUAUAAUCCUCAAAUUGUCUUAUUUAUGGAGUAAACUGGAUGAGGUACAAACGAAUAAGGUUAGAAAGAGAUGUGGUUUCGUAAAUGGGAUUGACGUUCUGGCGAUGGGUACGAUAGGUGGCCUCAGUUUAGCAUGGAAUGACAAUGAUCUGGUUCAAUUAAGGAGUUUUUCAAAUAAUCACAUUGAUGUAAUCAUUCAAAGAAUGCCUUGGUUUGUCUGUGGAGAUUUUAAUGAAAUACUUUAUUCUUAUGAAAGGAUAAAGAGAGGGCCACGUGACGAGAGACAGAUGGAGAAUUUGCAAAAGUUAUUAGAUGACUGUCAAUUGAUGGAUAUGGGUUAUGUUGGUUCACGUUUCACUUGGGAAAGAGGAAAUUUACUUGAAAUGAAUAUUCGUGAAAUAUUGGAUAAAGGGCGGCAAAUGGUGAUUGGAUGAAUCUAUUCCUUGAUUAUUCGAUUAGGCAUUUACCGCAUUCUAUGUUUAAUAAUUGUCCCCUUCUAAUUCAGACGGAUCAAGAUUUUAGGAGAAUGGUAAGAAGAAGAUUUCGGUUCAAAUCGUGGUGGGUAUUGGAGGAUUCUUGUAGGAAUGAUAUUUAUCGGAUUUGGGGAGAAAAUUAUAGUUUGGUGCUGGAUAAAUUAGAAGCUUUAAAAGCAAGGUUGUUGAGAUAGGAAAAGGGCAUAAAAGAAAAACGGAAUAAAACAUCUAGGCGAUUGAAUAGAAGAUUGGAAAUUCUAUCAGAGUUAGAGAGGAAUGAUAAGAUUUUGGCAGAAAUAAUUGAUAGAAAGAUUCAUCUUAAUCUAGAGAUGGAGAAAGAUGAGACAUAUUAGGAACAGAGGGCCCGAACAAACUGGUUACAUUUAAGGGAUAAAAUAUAAUUUUUUUCCAUAAUGUUGCUUUCUAGCGGAGACGCACGAAUCAAAUAUAUGGUUUGCAAAAUGAGGAGGGUAAUGUAGUCACGAAUGAAGAAGGAAUACAGAAAAUAGCCAGAAAUUAUUUUUUGGAGUUACUUGCGUCAAAAGGAAUCAAGAAUUUGGAGAAUAUAUUGUUAGGGGUGGAUAGAUGUAUAUCAUAAAAUAUGAAUCGAAUGCUACUAGCAAACUAUACAACUAAAGAGGUGUUUACUAUAGUGAGUGGAAUAAGUCCAUCAAAAGCGGCUGGAGUUGAUGGUUUUCCAGCAAUUUUUUUCCAAAAAUACUGGCAUAUUAUUGGCCCGGAUAAGAGUUCUUUUUGCCUUGGAGUAUUAAAUAGAGGUAUGUCGAUGGACACACUUAAUGCUACUAAUAUUGUGCUUUUACUAAAAAUCUUUCAACCUAGAAAUUUGACAAAUUUUAAACCAAUAAGUCUUUACACAAUAUUAUACAAAAUUGUUUCAAAAACUAUUGCAAACAGAUUUCAACAAGUUUUAGAUUGUUGUAUUGAUAAAGCUCAAAGCGCUUUUGUUCCAUGUCGUUUGAUUACAAAUAAUGUUCUACUUAUGAAAUUCUACAUUCGUUUAAGCAAAAAAAGAAAAGGAGAAAAUGUUCAAUGUCGCUUAAGUUAGAUAUGAACAAAGCUUAUGAUAGUGUCGAGUGGUCUUUCUUAAGAAGAAUGUUGCUACAGAUGGGUUUCGUAUUGCCAUAGGUGGAACUUAUUAUGAGAUGCAAUAGUUCUGUCUCAUAUACUAUAGUGAUCAAUGGAAAAGAGGGGCAAAAUUUUAAACCUACAAGAGGGUUAAGGCAAGAGGAUCCUUUAAGUUACUAUUUAUUUCUGAUAUACAGUGAAAAACUUUCUGCUCUUAUGCGAUUGGCUAGGCAGGAGAGCUUAUUGGAAGAUGCUAGAAUUUGUAGGAGGAGUCCGAAUAUUUCGCAUUUAUUUCGCGGAAGUUUGUAUUCUCUUUACUGAAGCUUCAAAAAAGGGUGUGGAUGUACUAAAAGGUAUUCUAAAAGAAUAUGAGGCGACAUCAGGACAAUGUGUGAAUUAAGAAAAAUCAACAGUGUUGUACAGCUCAAACACGCUUGAUCAAGUUAGGGGAGUUGCCACGCAGAUGUUGAAUAUGUGAAAUUUUACAAAUCCGAAAAGGUAUUUGGGGCUUUCGAAUAUGAUUGGGAGAGGAAAGAAAGUAGCUUUUCAGUUGCUAAAAGAUCGUGUGAAUAGCAAGAUUGAUAGUUGGAGCACAAAACUUCUGCCAUAAGGAGGGAAAUAGGUGUUUAUAAAAUAUGUGUUACAAGCAAUCCCAACAUACACGAUGGCAUAUUUUUUACUUCCCAAAAUGUUUUGCAAAGAAUUGGAGAGUAUUAUUGCAAAUUUUUUAUGGCAAAAACGUCAUGGUAAAAGAUGUAUUCAUUAGUGUGAGUGGAGGAAUUUAUCCGAAUCAAAAGAGUACGGGGGGCUUGGUUUUUGAUGUUUAGCUAAAUUUAAUUUAUCGUUACUGGCAAAACAAGGUUGGAGGUUAGUUACGUUUCCAAAUUCUUUGCUUGCUCGUACGUUAAAAGCCAAAUAUUGUCUAUCAUCCAAUGUUUUAGAAGCAAGGUUGGGGAAUCUACCUUCUUGUACCUGGAAGAGUAUAUGGGUGACAAAAGGUUUUCUCCAAAAUGGGUUGUGUUGACGAGUGGGAACUGGAAAAAAUAUUUCAGUAAAAGGAGUUGCAUAGGUGCCGGGAUCUAAGAAUUACAAAAUGCAAAACAGUGAAAUGGAAAAUCUGCUAGCAAAAGAGUCUUAGAAAUGGAGAAUAUAGUAACAAAGAUGAAAGAGUACCUGAUUACGCCGUGGAGAUGGUGGAAAGGGGUCGUCCAAGGAGAGGGCUUUCCUAUUAAUGGGUGUCGUUCCAUUUCUAUUUAUAGAAGCAAGGGAAAAGGAAAGGUGCUUCGAAAAAUGAAGAGUUUGUGGGUUUUGAUAGAUGGGAUAAUUAAUGUGAUUUUUUUUUCUAUUGCCUCAAGAGUUGAACUUAUAUUUUGCUAUUACUAGCGUCAAGUUUCUAGAACUAUCUUCUUUUUUU